UUGCAUUGUUAGUUGCAUUGCA
rnacentral:miRNA from 3 species